AGAAUCAACGCUGGCGGCGUGCCUAACACAUGCAAGUCGCACGAGAAAGGGGACUUCGGUCCUGAGUAAAGUGGCGCACGGGUGAGUAACACGUGAAUAAUCUACCUCCGAGUGGGGAAUAACUGAGAGAAAUCUUAGCUAAUACCGCAUAAUACCCACGGGUCAAAGCAGCAAUGCGCUUGGAGAGGAGUUCGCGGCCGAUUAGCUAGUUGGCGGGGUAAUGGCCCACCAAGGCGAUGAUCGGUA
rnacentral:rRNA from 1 species